UUCAGUUGUAAUACACUAGUCAAGUAAUUCAUAAUGUUCAAAUCCUGGACCUUCUACGGACUCAUGAUGUUUAUCCUAACAUCUUAUUGCAUAGUCCCUGAAUACUGUAGACGUAGAAUCAUAUGAUCUCUUAUUUUGUGGUAAAUUCAAAGGAUUAAAUGAUGGAUCCGACCAGGAUGAUUACAUGUCUAAUUUCAACGAUAAUUGCAUGGAAAAUGGCGUCUAUUAUUGUAGAAUUGUUGGUGGAAAAAUAGUUCAUUACGAUAUUCCAUUUUUUGCUCUUCUCAUAAUAAAAUCAGGAAAACAACUAGGAGAUGCCUUUCAUUGCGGAUCAACUGUUAUAACACCAAGACUCCUACUUUCGGCUGCUCAUUGUGUUUGUCAAGAUUUAUAUACAGACUGUAUAAAAGGAGAGCAUGGACUAAUUCCAAAGGAUGAAAAAAAGAUAGAUAAGUUAUAUUCAUAACUCAAUUGCAUGUUGCAAUGAAUAACAAAUUUCUUCUUUUAUUUUUGUUUUUUUACUAAUUCUAACAUUUAAUUUAAAUUAUUCUACAUAUGAUAGCUAUUAUUGGUCUCUCCAGCACAGAGGAUAUUGAAUAUGUUGAGAAAUCGGAACGGCUUCUAAGACAUGAGCGAAAAAUAAUAACGUUUAUUGCUCAUAUGAAGUACAAAGCUUUUCAGCCAAAUGAUAUUGCAAUUUUGAAAAUGGAUAGAGAUCUACCCAAUGAUUUGAAAAGCGCUCCAAUUUGUUUAUUUUACGCGGGCCUAUUUCCAGAUAACCAUUCAAAUCUAAACGCAACUGUGAUUGGAUUUGGUCAUAGAUGGAGUAGACGCACAUGUAUGACUGAUGCUAUUGGCCCUCAUCCUUAUAGGAGCUGUUCUUUUCCAUAUUGGGCGUCCCAAAUUGAUAUGUUCACAGGGAAGAAGUUGAAAAAAGUCCAGUAUAACAAAUGUAACCAUUUCCCAAAUCCAAGCAAUUUAAAUCCAAUUUGUCGAAAAUUUAAUCUCUUUUAUCAAAAUGAAAUCAAUGAAGACUAUUCAACCGUUGAUGUGGUAAUGUCUAACAAUAGUUGGGUUAGAUGUUAUACGGAAAAUGAUUUAGGAAAUGGAUGGUGUGGUAUAUGUAACUCCUUUGAGUGCCAGUUAGGUAGAGAUAUUCCAGAUGGAGAUGAAGAUUGGAGCUGGUGUGCAAGAGAUUGCUCAGGGUCUGAUGUAAUUCAUAGUCAUUCAGGUACACUGGAUUUGCAAACAGUGGAUGUUGAUUUAUUAACGGAUGAGGAAUGCUCUGAAUUUACACAAAACUUUACUACUGUUAAUACUACAAUUGAGCUUUGUGCUGGUUAUAAACACUAUAUUUCAAUGCCUACGAAGUACUCCUAUAUAGUUCUUCCAAAUGGCACUGAUCAUUUUCUAAAAAUAUCAGAUACAAUUAAGACGAACAAAUGGAUAUUAGGAGGAAAGGAUGCGUGUCAAGGGGACUCGGGGGGACCUUUAUUUAUUACACUAGGUACCAGCGAAGACACGAAAAGAGCUUUUUUUGAUUGGAAUAGUUUCUAGAGGUUCAGGAUGUGGAUCGCAUGGAAACCCUGGGAUUUAUACUAGAGUGAAUGCUUUUCUCCCUUGGAUAAGAGAAAGAAUGCUUAUUUUGAAUAAUGCAACUGAGCAAGAAUUCCUUACUCCUCCUCUCAAGCCCUCGUUAUAAGAGUAUCGAUGGAACAGCGAAGGUACAGUGAAUAUGCCCUGAAUUAUAGACCUAAAUUAGCAUACCCAACAACCAUAAUGCGACUACGAUAUUCUACGGUAUUCUAGUACAUAUAUGUUGAAAUAA
rnacentral:misc_RNA from 1 species